AGCUAGAUAGGGUUUUCCAUGAGGAAAUUUUCCAAAUGCAUUACCUGCCUUCACUAUUUAUUUCUCUCUUUGUAUCUCUCUUGUCCUUGAUUUUUCUGUCAGUUAAGUUGCUUCUCUUCUCAUAUAGACAGAGAGGAUGGAAGUGUUCUUCCCACACUACUCCUUGUUGGACAGUGGAGUGGAAAUCAUCUGCCAUCCAUGGAGACACCAGGAGUUUGGUGCCAGUGCUAUUGUGUGAGACAGGUUAAUCUUGCUGUGCUGCAAAAGAAAGUCAUAUUCCUUGGGAUUCUUUGCUGUAAUUUUUUGCUGUCCACACUCCUAUGCUUUGGAGGACUAAAUAUUUCCACCAAUCUCAACAGACUUCCCCCUCCCCCGGUAAUGUAUAACUAUGAACAAAAUAUACCUUUGCCAAAGUCAUAGAUUUUCUAAUGUUUCUCCUUUGGAAGAAGUAGGUACUUAAAAUGGGCAUUUAAAAUAACCUCUGUUUUCAUGGUAUGAAGGAAAGUGAUUGCACAGUGUACUUAUUUUGAUGCAUUUAAAAAUGUGUACCUACUGUAUUAUACAC
rnacentral:lncRNA from 1 species